GCAAUGGCGGCAGCUACCAUGCAGUCGACGGUAACAUUUCUAGCUUGCUAGAAGAUGACGAGUGGCGGACGGGUGAGUAAUGCUUGGGAACUUGCCUUUGCGAGGGGGAUAACAGUUGGAAACGACUGCUAAUACCGCAUAAUGUCUUCGGACCAAACGGGGCUUAGGCUCCGGCGCAAAGAGAGGCCCAAGUGAGAUUAGCUAGUUGGUAAGGUAACGGCUUACCAAGGCGACGAUCUCUAGCUGUUCUGAGAGGAAGAUCAGCCACACUGGGACUGAGACACGGCCCAGACUCCUACGGGAGGCAGCAGUGGGGAAUAUUGCACAAUGGGGGAAACCCUGAUGCAGCCAUGCCGCGUGUGUGAAGAAGGCCUUCGGGUUGUAAAGCACUUUCAGUUGUGAGGAAAAGUUAGUAGUUAAUACCUGCUAGCCGUGACGUUAACAACAGAAGAAGCACCGGCUAACUCCGUGCCAGCAGCCGCGGUAAUACGGAGGGUGCGAGCGUUAAUCGGAAUUACUGGGCGUAAAGCGCACGCAGGCGGUUUGUUAAGCUAGAUGUGAAAGCCCCGGGCUCAACCUGGGAUGGUCAUUUAGAACUGGCAGACUAGAGUCUUGGAGAGGGGAGUGGAAUUCCAGGUGUAGCGGUGAAAUGCGUAGAUAUCUGGAGGAACAUCAGUGGCGAAGGCGACUCCCUGGCCAAAGACUGACGCUCAUGUGCGAAAGUGUGGGUAGCGAACAGGAUUAGAUACCCUGGUAGUCCACACCGUAAACGCUGUCUACUAGCUGUGUGUGUCUUUAAGACGUGCGUAGCGAAGCUAACGCGCUAAGUAGACCGCCUGGGGAGUACGGCCGCAAGGUUAAAACUCAAAUGAAUUGACGGGGGCCCGCACAAGCGGUGGAGCAUGUGGUUUAAUUCGAUGCAACGCGAAGAACCUUACCUACACUUGACAUGCUGAGAAGUUACUAGAGAUAGUUUCGUGCCUUCGGGAACUCAGACACAGGUGCUGCAUGGCUGUCGUCAGCUCGUGUCGUGAGAUGUUGGGUUAAGUCCCGCACGAGCGCAACCCUUGUCCUUAGUUGCCAGCCUUAAGUUGGGCACUCUAAGAGACUGCCGGUGACAAACCGGAGGAAGGUGGGGACGACGUCAGUCAUCAUGGCCUUACGUGUAGGCUACACACGUGCUACAUGCAUUUACAGAGGGAGCGAGACAGUGAUGUGGAGCGGACCCCUUUAAAGAAUGUCGUAGUCCC
rnacentral:rRNA from 1 species